UCCCUGGAAGACUAGUGGUCAGGCCUUGGCGCUCUCACUGCUGUGGCCUGGGUUCGAUUCCCGGCCAGGGAA